rfam:Hordeum vulgare subsp. vulgare, WGS project CAJW01000000 data, contig: morex_contig_1608977
UGGGGUGUGGCCAAGUGGUAAGGCAGCGGGUUUUGGUCCCGUUACUUGGAGGUUCGUAUCCUUCCGUCCUAG